CCUACGGGAGGCAGCAGUGGGGAAUUUUCCGCAAUGGGCGCAAGCCUGACGGAGCAACGCCGCGUGAGGGAUGAAGGCCUCUGGGCUGUAAACCUCUUUUCUCAAGGAAGAAGACCUGACGGUACUUGAGGAAUAAGCCACGGCUAAUUCCGUGCCAGCAGCCGCGGUAAUACGGGAGUGGCAAGCGUUAUCCGGAAUUAUUGGGCGUAAAGCGUCCGCAGGCGGCCUAUUAAGUCUGUCGUUAAAGCGUGGAGCUCAACUCCAUUUAAGCGAUGGAAACUGGAAGGCUAGAGUGUGGUAGGGGCAGAGGGAAUUCCCGGUGUAGCGGUGAAAUGCGUAGAUAUCGGGAAGAACACCAGUGGCGAAGGCGCUCUGCUGGGCCAUAACUGACGCUCAUGGACGAAAGCCAGGGGAGCGAAAGGGAUUAGAUACCCCUGUAGUCCUGGCCGUAAACGAUGAACACUAGGUGUCGGGGGAAUCGACCCCUCGGUGUCGUAGCUAACGCGUUAAGUGUUCCGCCUGGGGAGUACGCACGCAAGUGUGAACGUUAAAUGAAUUGACGG
rnacentral:rRNA from 1 species